rfam:Listeria grayi DSM 20601 genomic scaffold SCAFFOLD1, whole genome shotgun sequence.
AUCUUAUCCAGAGCGGUAGAGGGACUGGCCCUUUGAAGCCCAGCAACCUACAUGAAAUUGAUGUAAGGUGCUAACCUGUUGCAGGAAAGUGAUUUCCUGAACGAUGAGAG